rnacentral:lncRNA from 1 species
GGCAGAGACAGGCAGGAUUUCAAAGUGGCACAGGAGAUGUUUGGGAGUUUUGCAUAUGCACCAGCAAGGCUCUUGGAUCAAGCCCUACAGCAGAAAGCAAGCAGUAUGUGGUGCCGUGGAAGCAAGAUGCUAAGAAAAUACACCUGCGAACAGUGAUGUAUCAAUGGCUGGAGCGAGACAGGAGAGGAGGAACAGGAGGAGGAGAGUGAGAGAAAUUGAUUGCCAACCUUAGUCCAGUGAAAACUUUGCUCCGAUAAUAUUUCCUUGGCCUGACCAAUCCAGAUCAACAAUCCUCUUCUUUGGUGACUGAAUAAGGGAAGAAGCUCUGCUGGGUGACCUUGAACACAUCACUUCACUUCCUUGAGC